AUCCAACAACGUCGUGCAAGAAAUCAGCCGAAAAAAGGGCCUCCAACUGCAUUUUUUGAGCGUGGUGGAGGCAUACCAACACUUGUCCUGCCUUCCUGUUAGUUACUUUUAUCUAACUUUGGAGGCCGCUUGUGCCACAACUUAUGAAAAGAAGCUGUACCGAGCAAUAUUUGUUAGGAUGAUUGGUGACAGAAAGGAAACCAUAUUGUUUGGGGAUGUCAACUCCGAUGGCUUGUUGGAAAGAAUACUUGACACCAGGAAGGAAAUCAAAUAUAGAGUCUAUAAAAUCUGGCAAGAAGCCGAUGGAGACUAUGAAGAGAAUGGAGGCGAUGGAGACGAUGAAGAGGAUGAAGGCGAUGAAGGCGAUGAAUGAUGGGGCACUAGUCUCAUUGACAAUGAGAGGUAAAAUUUGGGCGACGCUUGAUUCCCUAGGGCAGCUUUGGCCCUAGCUAUAUCUCUCUCUAUUUUAUAUCACCUGUCACUGAUUGCACCAGACUUGUACUGGGUGCUGUUUCAAUUCCUAGUGUCGUUUGGGAUGCUGCACCGCGGCCAUCUCCACAGCCGCCAUUGAACCCUGUAACAUCUAUUUGCAUUAUCCCCAGA